AUACGGAGGGCGCAAGCGUUGCCCGGAAUCACUGGGUGUAAAGGGUGCGUAGGCGGGGCUGUAAGUCAGAGGUGAAAGCCCUCGGCUCAACCGGGGAAUUGCCUCUGAUACUGCAGCUCUUGAGUCCCGGAGAGGCCGCUGGAAUUCCUGGUGUAGCGGUGAAAUGCGUAGAUAUCAGGAGGAACACCGGAGGCGAAGGCGGGCGGCUGGACGGGGACUGACGCUGAGGCACGAAAGCGUGGGGAGCAAACAGGAUUAGAAACCCUUGUAGUCC
rnacentral:rRNA from 1 species